UUUAAAAUGUGUUCUCAGAAUGCAGGAAAUGCUAUUUCAGAGACCCAAAUUUUAAAAAUUUCCUGGGGGCAGGCAUGCCACCAGACCCCCCUCCUAGCUAACUCGUGCCUGCGAUAGCUCGGGUCACACCUUCGGCGAUUGCAUACUAUCCUGGGAAAGGGCAAGGAGAGAAUGGGCCCUUUGGCAGUUUUGCCCUACCACUGAAGAAUCCUUAAAAAAUGCACUGACUGAAAAAACCCUUUAUUCUUUUUUAUUUUUAAGCCGAUUAUUCUUUCCUCUCAAAAUUAUGGUUAAAACCAACUUGUACUAUUUUCAUCUAAUAUAUUAUAUCACACCCGCAUUAUCUAAAAACGCCUGAUUACUUUACUGAUCACAGAAUAUUACGUUACUAAAUAAAAAACUGAGCGUUGCGUUAGGGUGGAAUACCACCAUAAGCGUGCAUGAGGAUGAGAGGUGUAAUCGCGUUUCGGGGCAAAUUUCGCAAACGGUAAACCAUUAUUAAAGGGACUUCCGAGACACAAAAAGUCACUCUGGGGCACUUUCAAAAGUAAACUGUGAAGAUUUUCUUGAAAUGGCAUGUAAUUCAUAGUCAACGCUUGUUCAAUUAGAUUAUAACUGCAUAUGACCAAUGCGAAAUGACAUGGUGAUUUCAUGGGUGGUGCUUAGUGCAGGGUACUUAAACAUUAAGUUAACCCUAUUCCAAAUACAUUUUUAAACUAUUCAAAUGAUGAAAGUUAUUGUUGUUUUUAAGCGUUUAUUAGCAAGUGGGAACGACCAACAUGGCCACAAUCUAUUCAAAUGAGGGUAACCGCUGGAAUAUUCUUGGCUUCAAUUUUACUAAAAGAGAUGCACUAUCUAGUGUAUAUAAGAUAUCUAUGGUGGCUUCCUAUUAACUGGAAGAACAAUUCGUGUGAAUCAAUGAACUACGUCAUUAAGCUCUCGGCAAAUUGGAAGGCCAUGUCAAUGAAAUUGCCAGAUUUGAUUGAAAAAAAAAGACUUGAUAGAAUUGUCAAGCUACAGCAAGCUAAAUGUAGGAGAGCUUUAUACGGGCAUGAUAACUAUGAGUUGGCCCCGGCCCGUGGGAGUUGAAAUACAAAAUGUACACUGGACACAAAAUACGAACGCAGAAAAAGGAGCAUUGUAUGGGAU